UAGGAGUUUUCUACUUUUCACUUUUCCUGAUUCUAAAGAAGUGUAACCUAGUCUUCUCAAAACAAUGGGCCGGCUUCUUACGCUGUAUCUACCUAGACAACUAUGGAGACUCAGUCUUUGCUCAGUUGUUACCAACUCAGAAGCAAAACUGAACUGUCUGACCUUCAAAAGCUUGGUCAGGAUAGGUCAACAGUUCUUACUUAUUUAUCUUGACUCUUAAUGAUGUUCAUUACCAGAGUUCUGGAAAAUAAGGAAAAAGAAGUUUAAAUAAAUUACAUCAUGAACAAAACUGCAGUAUGCCAGUUCAUAUCCUCAUGACCUCACGAUUCUGCCUGAGCUCCACAUCAAUGAAAGGAAAAUCGGAUAACGAAGCACUUAGUCUAAUAUCUCAAUAGCAACCAUCAAUUAGGAUUACUUUUUAGAAAAGAAAAAAAAAACCUAACCUUAUAUGUAAAUCUAUCUAGUGUGCAAAUGACAUAAUGCUUAUAUGUAUGUAAAUCUAUCUAGUGUGCAAAUGACUUAAUGCCGGGGUGGGUAAACUGUGGCCGAGAGUACCCCAAAUCCAGCCCACUCCUGCUUUUGUAAUAAUUCACCAGCUAAGAAAUGUUUUCAUAUUUUUUUAAUAAUUGGGAAAAAUAUAUACAUUUUGUGACAUGUGAAAAACCACACAAAAUUCAAAUGUCAGUGCUUGUAAAUAAAGUUAUAUUGGAAGCAUCCUCAUUCAUUAA